CGGUCUAAGAAGUUUGAAUGGAGAGAUCAACAACUUUUCGGCUCAGAAACUAUUGAAUCAACCAGAAAUUUCUGAUAACUCCAGUUCACCAGAAACUUCGAGAAAAUAUGUUGAAAUUAUGGAAACCGAUGAGAUAGAAAUAGAUUUGGUUAAUGAUAAUAAUAAUAAUGAAAUUACACCUAGUCAAGAGUUACUAACAUCGUCGCAGUCAACUAUCAGUCAAAUUUCAAAUGUUUCCGAUUUUGAAACAGAAUUGUUGUCUGAAA